UUUUCCGUCCUUCUCUUCCUGCCGGCGGCGGCUAUUGGAAGUAGCAUGACGAGCCUGCAGCCGGCGGCGGGUAAUGGCGAGCGUUGGUCAGUGCGGCCUCCCCCAUGCCCGCCGGCAAAGCUACGCCUCACCCACCUCACCGCUUUUGCCGUCGUCGCCCUCUACCUCCCCAGCCCCAUCGCCUUCGCAAGGGUGAUUUUGUCCUGCUAGGGUGUCGCGGCGAUGAGGCGGUGGUAGAUGGGAGCCAUGGCGGAGGCGGAGCACGAGGGCUGCAUGGAGAACCAGGCGGCAUCGAGCUCCUCAGCCUCGGAAGGGAGCAGCCAAUAGAUGUCCCGAUUCUGGAUUGUAGUGUCUACAUUUUUUGUUUCUCGGCGUAUAUUUUCGGCCUAGCAUCUUAUGCUGACCAGUUCUAGGAAUUUGGUUCUAGGAUUCAGAUGUGGAAACUCAGAGAUGGCCGCACAAAAAGCAGAUUGACCUUGUCAAGGUAUCUAUCAACGUUCAUCCAACGCCCGGGCUCCUCCUCAGCUGCAGCCAAAGAGCUCUCCAUCUAUGGAGCAAAUUGAAUAAUGGGGAAAUGUGAUUUUAAACAGCAAUCCAGUAAAGGAGCAAUAGAAGAAAUCUCUCAUGUCGCUGGCAAGAUAACUGUUUCAUCACCAGAUUUGGGGUGGAUCUAGGCAAAGUUGUAAGGCCACUGUCCAAGGAGUAUCUGGUGAAAAAGAAUGAUAGAAUUGACUUAAUGGCAAUGGUGGGAGUGUUUGGAUCAGUUUUUAGUGGCAUACAGAUAAGUAUUCUUGAGUGAGAAGAACUUCAUUCUAUUAAAUGGAAUGUUGAUCCGUAAGUCCCUCACUGUUGCCAAAUUUCCCCAAACUUUUGUACACAUAGAACACUUGUAAUGAAAAAUAUAUACGGUGCACCCUAGAGAAAGUAUACUCCUGAAUAACAAGGCAAGUUUGGUGUAGGCGUGUAGGCGUGUAGCUAAUUGAUGUACAUCCAUGUCUCCAGUUGUGUAUAAACUUGUUUCACUAUUCUAGAUUGUAAAGAUCACAUCAUUUUCUGUGGCAGAGAAGUCGUUUUGAAAAUCAAAUAAAACAGAGUAAAUCUAAACGUGCUGCAAUGGGUAAGAAGGUUAAAUUUACCAAGGGUAAAGGGGGUGGCGAUGAGUAUUCAUAUGAAGUUUCCUUGGAUGAAUAUUUACUGACUUCUUUGGAAUAUGGGGAUGCCACCUUCUUCUGGAAGGGUAUGAUCCUUAAAAUUGUCUUCAAUUGUUUUUUCUCGUGGUGUAAUUUUAUCUCUGGCAAGUUUUCACUCAACUAUUUGUCAUUUAUUAUUAAAUUAUGUGGCUUGUGCGAAAAAAUUGUGUGGAACCUUUGAACUUAUAGGGCCUUGGCAUCGACCGGCUAGCAAUAUUGUUGACGAACUCUGCUAGCAUAAGGGGUGUUAUUGCUUUUCAUGUUCUGAAGCUUCAGCAAUAGGACCUUUGCUCGGGGUAAGAUGAGAUGCAAUUUUGACAAUGCUGGUAAGAAAUUCUGCCAGUAGAUCUUUUAUACCAUUAUAUAGAUAUUGCCUAUUGCUUCAUUGGUAAUGGAUGGUUAGGACGGCCAAGACUCCAGUCUAGAUUUGUUCUUAGGAAAAAUAGUCGAUAGGUCCCAACACUGGUAUUAAAAAUGAUUCGCAAAUGCAGGAAUGCCAUGGAUGUUUUGUUUUGACCCACUUUCGUGCUGACUAAAUGACCUCUUGCUAUGCUUUCAGGGGAUUCGACAAUUUGCCACCCUUUUGUUUGCAAUUUGAUUAUGUUUCCAGAGCUGCAAAAAUCAUCGGAUUAGCUAAUUAAAAAUGUCCACUUGCAAUCAGCUUGAUUUGUAACUGUUUCUUAAGAAAAAUAUUAUAACCUUUCUUACAUCGGGGAAUGACAGUGCAUCAUCUUCCCGAACACAAAGAUCCACCCUUCCUUGUUGCGUAGAAAACACCUGGUUAGCUGCAUACAGGUCAUGGCUUUUGGUAGUCGUCGAACUUGGGUUAUACACACACGCCCAAAUAUAUUUAUUUCACUUGUAAAUGCCUUUUUCUUUCAGUAGAAAAAAGAUUUGUUUUAAUGCUUUCUUGGUUAAGAGUGCAGAUUCGUACUAAUUAACAGGAGGCAAAAUCUUCAGUUAUUGGCAGAGCUAGACUUGAGUGACACACAUGGAGCCUGGAGAUGCCACCAUCGGUGAUUCUCUUCAUUGACAAGUGAGGACAUGAUCUUUUGCCUUACCAGGUGCCAUGCUACGGAAAACAAAGUGGGAUUUGCACGGCUAAGAUUUACAUAAACAAAAAAAGAGAUUUUUCUAUGCAGUGCCACGGAAAGCAUUGAGCUCAUCAUCAGUUCAUCAGAACACUGGAUUUUCCUAUGACGAGGUUUCUACCUGGUUGUGAGUUAAGGACUGUUUUUGUUCAAGCAUCGUUUCAAACUUGUCUGUAAAGUGAACCGUGUAACGAUCAUUACAUGUAUCAGCUACUUUUUGUAUUUUCGUCAAGAAAAAUCAAAUGUACACUUUGUUUUCUGGUAGUCAUUGCUGUAAACAAGUUUUGUA